CCCUUAGAUGUUCUGGGCUGCACGCGCGCUACACUGACGCACGCAACAGGUGCCUGCUCCGAGAGGACUGGGUAAUCAUUUGAGUGUGCGUCGUGAUGGGGAUAGAAUAUUGUAAUUAUUACUCUUCAACGAGGAAUUCCUAGUAAGCGCCAGUCAGCAGCUUGCGCUGAUUACGUCCCUGCCCUUUGUACACACCGCCCGUCGCUCCUACCGAUGGGUGAUCCGGUGAAUGAUUCGGACUUCAGCGGCUCCCCUGGGGUGCGCCGGAGAAAGUUUUGUGAACCUUACCACUUAGAGGAAGGAGAAGUCGUAACA
rnacentral:rRNA from 1 species